UAUAAUUUAUCAUCACUUCAGGUCUGGAGGAGUUGAACCGGGUGGUCCCAGAAGCUUUCCUGCCGUUCUUUAUCAAGACUGUCGGCCACUUCGCUAAGUACAUCGUGCGGAAGGGCAAAGACCAGCGGGGCGAGUUCCAGCGAACAAAUUUCUGUAAAGCAAUAGAAUCCAAGAGCACACGACGGUUUGUGAAGACAUUUGUACAGACGCAGAUGUUCGACCUCUUCAUUCAGGAAAUGGAACAGAGACCCGCCUCUCAGGACGGCACAGGGCUCUUUGACAAAAAGAUUACUGAAUACCAGAAAAGGAUGAGGGAGAAAGCCAAGAAAAACUAGUGGAAGCACUCACCAAAGUAGCUGGUUGUAAAUCUUGUGUGAAAUAAAUCAGUCAGUCAGUAGUAAAUAAUUUUAAGGAAUGUAGAUAGAAUUAAAUGUCAGAUUAUGUUUUAUUUAUGUUGUCAUGUGUUAGUUGUCAGACUUUUACUGCUGUUUGUCAUUUGUGUCGGGGUUUUGUUGGGUGUUGUGGGUAACUGUAUUGUGAUAAGCUGCUGUAUUUAAUGCAUGAAAGGCUUGUUUGAGCUAGAAACGUUUUGACCAGAACAAUGUCUGAGCCAGUGGAAACGUGCUGAAUUGAAAAACAUCCAUUUUUCAAU